GCACUUUCUUUUCUUGAGAUACUUUUUUUCCCCUGCACUGUGGGCAUUUAUCCUUCUCACUGAUGACCUCACCUGAGCCUCUGCAUUCCGGACAGAUAUGUUGCAUCUGCUGAAUCAUGCCCAGGCCAAUCUGUCGUGUUGUAAUUUUCAUUCCUGAACCUUGGCAUCCAUAACACAUCCCAGAAGCUCCACUCUUUGAGCCCUUCCCUUUACAUUUAGUACACAUAAAAUUUCUAGAAAGAGAGAGUUUCUUGGUUGUUCCAUUAUAUAAGUCCUCUAAGGUAACCUUCAGAGUUUGUACUACAUCAUCACCUCGCUUCUGCCUUCUUCCUCUUGAGCUGCCUCCCCCACCAAAAGAUCUGCCAAAAAGUGAUUCAAAUAUAUCAAAUGGGUUAUGAACACCACUCCCACCUCCUCCUCCCAUUCCCUCUUUAAGUGCAUCUUCACCAUAUUGGUCAUAAAUAUCUCUCUUCUCUGGAUCACUAAGAACUUCAUAAGCAUGAGCCAGCUCCUUGAACUUCUCAGGAUCUCCACCUUUGUCAGGAUGAUUCUUUAUGGCAGCUUUUUUAUAAGCCUUCUUCAUUUCAUCUUGACUAGCAUUCUUUGAGACACCAAGAAUCUCAUAAUACUUGGUGUUAUCACUCCUUCCACCAUACCCAAACAUGAUUCAGUCACUUAAGCA
rnacentral:misc_RNA from 1 species